rnacentral:rRNA from 1 species
CCUACGGGUGGCAGCAGUGGGGAAUAUUGCACAAUGGGGGAAACGCUGAUGCAGCGACGCCGCGUGAGUGAAGAAGUCAUUCGUUAUGUAAAGCCCUAUCAGCCGGGAAGAAAAUGACGGUACCUGAGUAAGAAGCCCCGGGUAACUACGUGCCAGCAGCCGUGGUAAAAUGGCGGGGGCAAGCGUUAUCCGGAUUUAAUGGGGGUUAAAGGUGUGUAGACGGCAGGGCAAAGCUGGAGGUAAAGGCGGGGGGUCAAACCCCGGACUGCUCUGGAAACUGUACGGCUUGAGUGCGGGAGAGGUAUGUGGAAUGCGUGGUGUAGCGGUGAAAUGCAUAGAUAUUAGGCAGAACACCGAUGGCGAAGGCAGCUUACUGGACUGUAACUGACGUUGAGGCACGAAAGCGUGGGUAGCGAACAGGAUUAGAUACCCUAGUAGUC